AAUAGAUACCCGGGUAGUCCACGCCGUAAACGGUGGGCACUAGAUGUGGGGCUCUUUCCAUGAGUUCCGCGUCGCAGCUAACGCAUUAAGUGCCCCGCCUGGGGAGUACGGCCGUAAGGCUAAAACUCAAAGGAAUUGACGGGGGCCCGCACAAGCGGCGGAGCAUGCGGAUUAAUUCGAUGCAACGCGAAGAACCUUACCAAGGCUUGACAGUAUACGGUCUAUCCCUAGAGAUAGGGAGUGCUUCGGCGCCGUAUACAGGUGGUGCAUGGUUGUCGUCAGCUCGUGUCGUGAGAUGUUGGGUUAAGUCCCGCAACGAGCGCAACCCUCGUCCUAUGUUGCCAGCGGAUAAUGCCGGGGACUCAUGGGAGACUGCCGGGGUCAACUCGGAGGAAGGUGGGGAUGAGGUCAAAUCAUCAUGCCCCUUAUGUCUUGGGCUUCACGCAUGCUACAAUGGCCGGUACAAAGGGCUGCAAUACCGCGAGGUGGAGCGAAUCCCAAAAAGCCGGUCUCAGUUCGGA
rnacentral:rRNA from 1 species